AUGGCAGCACGAAGCAAAGCAAGGCAAGAAAGACAGCCCAUUCUGCCCUCGGCAAGAGGAAUCUCUUCCAUGCAGGUGCCCACAGGAGGGUAUUUCUGUGCUCAGGUGGCAGCCGGUUCCAGGGAUGGCGCAUGGAGCCGUGCACUCUGGACCUGGCGUCACCGCGUGAUUCAUGUGUUCACCUGCCCUUCCUCUAGCCUCUGUUCUGACUCGUUGUCCUUUGCUCCCUACAGGUUGCAGCCAGGGAAACUCUUCCUGUGUCUCACACACGGCGCUUCCCUUCGUUCGAGGAGACCCCCAAGCAGCUGCAUCGCAGCACACAAAAACCCAAGGGGCACAAUCAGAGGACCCAGACACACAAAGGGAGCUGCCUGGAAAGCGCAGCUCGGAGGAGCACUUCCCUCUGCCCUCCCGUUUCCCCCAGGUGCGAUGCACACUGCAGGUGCUGCCUCUUGUCCCUCACAGCUCUGCCUCCGGGGUGCAGCCUCCUGGGGAGGCAGCUCCGUCUGUGGGGCUGGGGUGGGAUGUCCGGGUCCGUGGGGAGCAUCGCACCCACGCUGUGUGCUGGAAGGAGCCAUGAGCGGCUCCUCCGGGAGCUGGUGCUGUGCCCUGACCCUCCUGCAUCCCCCCUGCAGCUGGGAAAGGACGGACAUAGUCAGGGCUCUUUGGUGCUGGAGGUGGAAGGGAGCCCGUGGUGCCUGCUGCAAGGGAUGGGGACAGAGGCCACCACCGGCUGCCACCUCCAGUCGCCUUCCUGCCACCGCAUCUGCCACGAGGCGGAACUGCCGGGAGACUUUGCCGGGGGGAGGAAGGCAGAAAAACCACACCGAGUGGAAGGAGAGUCGUCUGCACGUCUUCUCGGAGUUAAAAAUAAAGAGGAUUUUGCUCGCAGGAGGCGGUUUGUUCUGCUGUGCUGCUGACGGCAUGCGAGCACGCUGCACGCUUCUGCCAUGGAAGGCCAAAAGCGCCAUGCCAAAAAUGGGAACUUUCUGGCUAUUCCGCAUGCCUGAGAUCGAAUGGUUUCGCCGAGCCGCCUGA
rnacentral:lncRNA from 1 species